rnacentral:rRNA from 1 species
AUUGAACGCUGGCGGCAGGCUUAACACAUGCAAGUCGAGCGGGGGAAGGUAGCUUGCUACUGGACCUAGCGGCGGACGGGUGUGUAAUGCUUAGGAAUCUGCCUAUUAGUGGGGGACAACAUCUCGAAAGGGAUGCUAAUACCGCAUACGUCCUACGGGAGAAAGCAGGGGAUCUUCGGACCUUGCGCUAAUAGAUGAGCCUAAGUCGGAUUAGCUAGUUGGUGGGGUAAAGGCCUACCAAGGCGACGAUCUGUAGCGGGUCUGAGAGGAUGAUCCGCCAAACUGGGACUGAGACACGGCCCAGACUCCUACGGGAGGCAGCAGUGGGGAAUAUUGGACAAUGGGGGGAACCCUGAUCCAGCCAUGCCGCGUGUGUGAAGAAGGCCUUAUGGUUGUAAAGCACUUUAAGCGAGGAGGAGGCUACUCUAGUUAAUACCUAGGGAUAGUGGACGUUACUCGCAGAAUAAGCACCGGCUAACUCUGUGCCAGCCGCCGCGGUAA